UGACUUGUGAAUGAUAGAGAGAGAGACAGCCAUGAGAUGAAGACCAAGAUGACGGCAUCCUGUUGUGACACCAAGACACCACUUACAACUGGUAUGAUCGAUAGUUAACCUUGGAUAAUUGAGCAGCGCCAUCACAACUGAAAAUUAUAACUGCCAUUGUAGAACUAAACUCCAAUGAACACUACAACACCAAGAGGAGUUAACGACUAAACCUGAGAAAUUAACAACUGAAUCAUAGAGACACUGCUCUUACAGUCCAGGGGAGCGGUAGUCCAGGGCAGCAGCACACACAGAGCAGAGCCGUCUAGGACAGCAGCAUGCACAGAGCAGAGCCGUCCAGGGGAGCGGUAGUCCAGGGCAGCAGCACACACAGAGCAGAGAUGUCUAGGACAGCAGCACACACACAGCAGAGCCGUCCAGGGCAGCA
rnacentral:lncRNA from 1 species